rnacentral:rRNA from 1 species
ACGGGAGGCAGCAGUGGGGAAUAUUGCACAAUGGGGGAAACCCUGAUGCAGCGACGCCGCGUGAGUGAAGAAGUUAUUCGUAAUGUAAAGCUCUAUCAGCAGGGAAGAAGAUGACGGUACCUGACUAAGAAGCCCCGGCUAACUACGUGCCAGCAGCCGCGGUAAUACGUAGGUGGCGAGCGUUAUCCGGAAUUACUGGGUGUAAAGGGUGUGUAGGCGGAGAGGCAAGUCAGGCGUGAAAUGCGUGGGCUCAACCCACGAAUUGCGCUUGAAACUGUUUCCCUUGAGAGUGGGAGAGGUUAACGGAAUUCCUGGUGUAGUAGUGAAAUGCGUAGAUAUCAGGAGGAACACCGGUGGCGAAGGCGGUUAACUGGACCACAACUGACGCUGAGACACGAAAGCGUGGGGAGCAAACAGGAUUAGAUACCCUGGUA